GAUGAACGCUGGCGGCGUGCCUAAUACAUGCAAGUCGAGCGAAGGGGCGAGAAGCUUGCUUUUCUGAUAUUAGCGGCGGACGGGUGAGUAACACGUGGAUAACCUACCUAUAAGACUGGGAUAACUUCGGGAAACCGGAGCUAAUACCGGAUAAUAUUUUGAACCGCAUGGUUCAAAAGUGAAAGACGCUCUUGCUGUAACUUAUAGAUGGAUCCGCGCUGCAUUAGCUAGUUGGUAAGGUAACGGCUUACCAAGGCAACGAUGAAUAGCCGACCGGAGAGGGUGAUGGGCCACACGGGAACUGAGCCACGCCCCAGACUCCUACGGGAGGAAGCAGUAGGGAACUUCCCGAAUUGGGCGAAAGCUGGCCGGAGCAACGCCGGUGGAGUGAUGAAGUUUUCCGGAUCGUAAACCCUGGUGAUUAGGGAAGAACAUAUGUGUAAGUAACUGUUCACAUCUUGACGGUACCUAACCAGAAAGCCACGGCUAACUACGUG
rnacentral:rRNA from 1 species